rnacentral:rRNA from 1 species
UGGGGAAUUUUGGACAAUGGGCGCAAGCCUGAUCCAGCCAUGCCGCGUGCAGGAUGAAGGCCUUCGGGUUGUAAACUGCUUUUGUACGGAACGAAAAGGUGCCUUCUAAUAAAGGGCGCUCAUGACGGUACCGUAAGAAUAAGCACCGGCUAACUACGUGCCAGCAGCCGCGGUAAUACGUAGGGUGCGAGCGUUAAUCGGAAUUACUGGGCGUAAAGCGUGCGCAGGCGGUUUUGUAAGACAGAGGUGAAAUCCCCGGGCUCAACCUGGGAACUGCCUUCGUGACUGCAAGGCUGGAGUGCGGCAGAGGGGGAUGGAAUUCCGCGUGUAGCAGUGAAAUGCGUAGAUAUGCGGAGGAACACCGAUGGCGAAGGCGACUGCCUGGACCAGCACUGACACUGAGGCACGAAAGCGUGGGGAGCAAACA